UCCCUUAACUAUACACUUACCGGUUUUAGUCUCUUAAUUAUAAGCUUACCGAUUUUAGUCCUUUAAAUAUUCAAAAACUUUUCAGGUUUGGUCUUUGUCUAUUUUUUUAAUGCAAAUAACUUAGGUUUAUAUUAACGGAAUUCAUACCCCGAGAAAUUAAAUCCUUUAGCAAUUUUUUCUAUUGUUUCUCUCUCUCCGCUACUUUUCUUCAAAUUAACCUUAUGCGAAGAACCUUAACCUCAACGAUUUAAAA
rnacentral:lncRNA from 1 species